GUGGGGAAUAUUGGGCAAUGGGCGAAAGCCUGACCCAGCAACGCCGCGUGAAGGAAGAAGGCCUUCGGGUUGUAAACUUCUUUUAAGAGGGACGAAGAAAGUGACGGUACCUCUUGAAUAAGCCACGGCUAACUACGUGCCAGCAGCCGCGGUAAUACGUAGGUGGCGAGCGUUAUCCGGAUUUACUGGGUGUAAAGGGCGCGUAGGCGGGAAUGCAAGUCAGAUGUGAAAUCCAGGGGCUCAACCCUUGAACUGCAUUUGAAACUGUAUUUCUUGAGUGUCGGAGAGGUUGACGGAAUUCCUAGUGUAGCGGUGAAAUGCGUAGAUAUUAGGAGGAACACCAGUGGCGAAGGCGGUCAACUGGACGAUAACUGACGCUGAGGCGCGAAAGCGUGGGGAGCAAACAGG
rnacentral:rRNA from 1 species